GUGACUGUUUGAUUUCAGAAAGAGCUGGGGCAGUGAUGGAUGCUGUAGGAAACCCUCAGAACAGGUCAAGCCUCUCCCCAGGAAAUACUUGGCUUCUUUUAUAUUUCAGCACUUGGAGAAACUUCCUUCAAUCAUAAGUGUGCCCAGGAGAUGACCAGACAAUAGCUUACAUGUGGCAAUGUGGCUGGGAAGUCAGCAGCAGUGACUCCCUUCCACUGUACCUCUGUCAGUCACCCUUGUGCAGCAAGAGAAAGGAUCUCGAUGAAGGAUUUGGUGGCAGAAGGAAGGUUCUCUCCUCUGGACAGAGAUGGCUGUUUCUAACAUUCAAAAUGAUGUUUGCUUUCAUUUUUAAAGUGAAUUUAGUGUGGUGGACAGUGCCAUUCUCCCAGUGACAGAGAAUGAAGUCCUCUGACCACAGAAGUGAUUGGCAGAAGCAAUGCAAGGUUUCUUCACCCCGAUCCCAACCUCAUUCAGAAGAUCAUUGCAGUACUGCAAGUUCCAUGUGCACAAGAACCCAUGCUCAGAUUCACCACUGGAAUUCUGCAGGAGCUAGGUACCUCAGUACAUACUCUUCUCCCAUGGCCAGCAAUGGGGUGUCUCUUUCUGAACUCUGUUCUCUGCAUAGCUGGCUAAAUACCAACGAUCCUCCCAGGGGUGAAAGUAACUUAAAGGACUUACCGGUACUCCGGAGUUCUGAGCAGGGGGAGCGUGGCAUCGACUGGAAGAGGUGUGGCCUCAACCGGAAGAGGU